GACGAACGCUGGCGGCGUGCUUAACACAUGCAAGUCGAACGGAAAGGCCCUGCUUUUGUGGGGUGCUCGAGUGGCGAACGGGUGAGUAACACGUGAGGAACCUGCCCUUGACUUUGGGAUAACUUCAGGAAACUGGGGCGAAUACCGGAUAGGAGCUCCUGCUGCAUGGUGGGGGUUGGAAAGUUUCGGCGGUUGGGGAUGGACUCGCGGCUUAUCAGCUUGUUGGUGGGGUAGUGGCUUACCAAGGCUUUGACGGGUAGCCGGCCUGAGAGGGUGACCGGCCACAUUGGGACUGAGAUACGGCCCAGACUCCUACGGGAGGCAGCAGUGGGGAAUAUUGCACAAUGGGCGGAAGCCUGAUGCAGCAACGCCGCGUGCGGGAUGACGGCCUUCGGGUUGUAAACCGCUUUCGCCUGUGACGAAGCGUGAGUGACGGUAAUGGGUAAAGAAGCACCGGCUAACUACGUG
rnacentral:rRNA from 1 species